AUCAAGUGACUGUGCUUCUCGUCCUUUACUAUCAGGGUGAGAGUAUUCUGCAUCUGGCGAAGAGUGAGCAUGAUCUCAAGGUGAAAAACACUUUGGUCUUCAAUGCGUUUGUCCUGGCCCAGUUAUUUAAUGAGUUCAAUGCACAAAAGCCCGGUGAGUUUAACAUCUUCGGAGCAAUCACCAAAAGUCGCCUCUUUAUGGGCAUCAUCGCAAUAACUCUCGUACUUCAGAUCCUUAUUAUAUUCUUCCUGGGAAAAUUCACCGACACCAUACGUCUAACUUGGCAAUUAUGGCUGAUUUCUGUUGGUAUUGGUGUUAUCAUUGGCCUUUAGCAGUCGUUGGGAAGGUCAUAACAGUCCUCGAAACUCCCCUAAGCCAAUACUUCACAAGACUAUUCCGCAAAUGUUUAUGUUGCAAAUCCUGAAUGAAUUAGAGCACUUGUUGAUACCUCAGCUGAUACUUUGCGAAAUGGUUGAACUUCUACUUUGAGAAAGCCAGGUCAGAUUGAUUGUUUCUCUAUAGCUACUCGAAUGCAUUUAAUUUUAUACUUCACAUUUAGUAGUUGGAUGAAUCAUCAAUAUUCGCUCAUGCCCUUUGUUUUUUCCUUCCUGUUACGAGGCUGAUACAAGCAACAGAUGGUGCUGCUCUACAUUUUAGCCGGUGAAAUGUUGACUUCCACAAGGCUGGUAGUAUGCUCAUUUGGAGGAGUCGCUUCUGCUAAUGCCAGUUCCAUAAAACAAAAUCUGGAAAAGCAAAAUCUACAUUUGGAGACCUUCGAAAUAUUUUUUCCAGUCACCAGGGAGAUGGCUCUUUUUAUGCUGAUACAUGAUACUGUGAACGAGAUGGGAUGUAAACAUGUUUCAACAAUUGAGUUAUAUAUGAGAACUGCUGCUGAUUGUAAUAAUCAAAAUGCUGAUCAGAUUGAUUCUGCACGAACUGAGGGAGAAGAAGUUGUUAUACCAACGACAUUUUGAAAGCAUGUUGGAACAAGAGAAACAGUUGAUCGCUGGAAUCAGAGCAGUUGGGGUUCAUCAGCUGAUACUCUGCGAAAGUUUAGAAGUGAUCAUUCAG